ACACCCCAAAAUUAACGCUAACCACCCAUGUAAUCUCACCCCUCCCUCGAGCGCGGGCAGCCACCGACGAAGGAGGCCGCGCUUGAGCCCGCGGCGCGGCGCCUCCCGCUCCCCCUCUCCUCUCCGGCCGCACCGGUCUCCUCCCUAAGCAUGAAGUGGGCACACGGGGGCGGGCUCCAGUGAACGUGGUCACGCGCGAUCCAGCUGCUGGCGGCAUCCGCAUCCCUCGCCUCUCGGGUCUCUCCUUCCUUCCUAAGAAGUGGGUGCUCGCAGGGCGGCCUCCCCGCCAACCGCCUCCAGGAGCUCUGCUUCUGCAACGGUGGCAUCUACGUCAAGCUCGUCCAGCACAUCGCAAAGCUGGUAUAGAAGGGAAUUCCCAACUCUGCGUGGAUACGCCUGAAUUCGCUUUGGGUUCAUUUAUCUGUUUGUUUGUAAGAUUGCAUAAUUUUGUGGCUGAGGAUUAGCUGCUUGUUUGCUUGUACUACCACAAGAGUAUGUGCAGACAUGAGGGCGUCGAUGCUCAAGAGGUGCCCAAUCUCCUUAUACGAGGACGUCUGUGGAGUCUUCAAGAAAGAGAUUGGAGAAUUUUCACAAACUGUUAGUUCCUUCUUAUGGUAAUGUGUAGAAUUGGUUAUGAUAGAGAGAAGGACUCUGAUCUGCAUGGUGAGGACAUGCUUCCUGAAACAUCUGUUAGUAUUCAAUGAUUCCAACAGAUAAAGGACUUUCCAUGCUCUCAGACAACAGCAUUCUUUAUCCAACAGUGAUGCGAUUUUGUCUAUCUGAAUAUUGUGUUAUCAUUUGUUUAAAUUCGAGUGAUAUUAUACAUGUAGCUUGCUGGGUAUAUUUUACAAUAGUUACUUUUGGAAAUUUCUUAGAGAUUAUAGAUGGGACAACAGACAACAAUGCAGAUACGUCAUAGCUGGGCACCAUGAUCAUUGCCCCCAUAUCUCCUUUUAUGUUAUGAAGAUAUACAUGUCGGUUUCCUUCUUGCUAAUUUUUGGAGAUCAUAAAUGAUAUUAAUAUUAUGGUUGUACUGCAAUUUUCUUGUGUCUGUGUGUACAAACAGAUCGAAUCUAAUUCAAAUGACUUAGAUUAAUUUGCUUUUCCAAGUUAUUGCUGGGCCAACUAUUGUCCUUUAUGAAACAUAUCUUUUCACUUCUCUUUUGUUCCCAGGAAAUCUGGUCCGAGCCCGGCCGUAGUUUUAUAUAAGGAUGUUGGAGGCAGCAUCGGAAGAGACAAGUCUGCGGUAAAAUUUUCCCUGACACAGUAAUAGACUAAUAGUGUUAUCUAUAGUCUAAGAUGAAAUCAACCUUUACUGUUAUCUGAAGCGUAUGUUUUCUUAGUGUUUUCUAAGCAUUGUCUGGUCAUCAAUUGACUUGUCAUCCUAUCUUUUGUAAAUCAUGGAUUUUUAAAGUUCAAAAAGCGUGUACAUAACCUAUUUCACUUUAUAGUGAUAAAUGGAUUGAGUGCUAGUGACACGGAAAGCCUCUUUUGUGCAUCUAAUAACACAAACAUUUUCCAAGUAUUUCUUUGAAUAUGGAAACAUUUUUUGAUCGUCACCUAGAAAAUAAAUUCGCACAAGCUUACUGACAUAGAGUUGUAGGUCAGCGCACACUAAAAAUAUUUAAAUUGAGAGGAAUCUUUCCGAGAUAGUUUACGGUUCCUAUUUUUCUGGUUAUGCUUUUUUGAAAAUAAAUUUUAGUCAUGCUUCCUUCUCUACUGCUUGUUGAAAAAUCAAUUUUAUUAUUAGAAUAUGAUGAUAAAUCUGAUUCAGACUGGAAUUCACUUUUCUUGAAUAGAAAACAGAAGGAUCAGGUUGUACGUGGUAGCAUAUAUGCCUAGAAAAUGAAAAGGAUAAUAGGUUCCUAAGUACUAGAAUUGUCAUACCAUUCCCGGAAGUUACUUCUUGAUGUCAUUCCAGAAAAUAGAAGGGUCAAUAAAAUGUUCUCGGUGAUCAUUUUAGGUGUCCUUUUAGACAGCAACACCAAGUAGCAGGGCUUCAUCUUAGUACUGAUCAACAGGAGCAUGUUCGAACUACUGCACAGGUUAAAAUCAUUUCUUGACGACUUUUCUUAUGCUCCUAGGGAAUCUUGUCCAGACUCCACAACGUUGUAAUAACACAAAAGUUGGAGGUACGAUUGAAAGAGACCAGCUAGAUUCUUCUUCCGGGUAUUAAAAAGAAAACCUGGCUAGAGAUUUCAUGCCAUGCCAUUCCAUUUAUCUUUGUUUUGUGCUUAUCGUAUCUGAUGACAUGAUUAACAUUUAUUUCAUAAUUAGCAUAUACUUCAACACAUGAUAUGUUUUGUUUUAUUUAUGAACAACAAG
rnacentral:lncRNA from 1 species